ACGGCAUCCUCUUCUGGGUGGCUCAGGUGGUCAUGCCGGGACUCGACUUGACGGGGUGGCUUUCCUUUGAGACUGUGCUGCUGCAUGGCCUCCAGGGUGAUGGUGGCGGCCACAAGACGUCCAAGUCCUGGGGCAGUGUGAUAGACCCCCUGGAUGUCAUCAGUGGGGCGUCCCUGGAGGUGUGUGACUUGCUGGUGCUGUGUGUUCUGUACUGGUGUUCAUUGGCUGUGGUGAGCAGUAUCUGGACAGCAGGUACUGUGCGAGAGGGUGGAGGGGACCCUGAAUGCGGAAGAGGUACUCGCUUGUCUCGUAUGAAGUCCCCCACAGGCAUCCCAGAGUGUGGAGCUGAUGCCCUUUGGUCCACCCUGUGCUCCACCAGCUUCAGGAGUCAGUGUGGCAUAGAUAUAUGUGGAUGACUGUGGUGUCUUGUCUUGUGUGGAGUUACAAGGUUGGUGUAUGGAUGGAACCGUCACCCCAAACAAUGAGUGGUGGAGGGUGCGUUCUGCGUUGACAGCCAGCAUGAGCGGUGACAGGAGCCAUGGGUGCCUUGCCUCCUCGCACCACCACCACAAGCACCACCACUCCUGCCAUCACCUACAAGGGGGAGACUGUGAUGUGGCUGCAGGUGGAUAGGUGAGACA